GCUCAGUUGGUAAAGUACAAGGCUCUUAACCUUGUGGUCGUGGGCUCGAGCCCCAC
rnacentral:tRNA from 1 species